AUGCACGCUGGCGGCGUGCCUAAUACAUGCAAGUCGAGCGAACAGACGAGGAGCUUGCUCCUCUGACGUUAGCGGCGGACGGGUGAGUAACACGUGGAUAACCUACCUAUAAGACUGGGAUAACUUCGGGAAACCGGAGCUAAUACCGGAUAAUAUAUUGAACCGCCUGGUUCAAUAGUGAAAGACGGUUUUGCUGUCACUUAUAGAUGGAUCCGCGCCGCAUUAGCUAGUUGGUAAGGUAACGGCUUACCAAGGCAACGAUGCGUAGCCGACCUGAGAGGGUGAUCGGCCACACUGGAACUGAGACACGGUCCAGACUCCUACGGGAGGCAGCAGUAGGGAACCUUCCGCAAUGGGCGAAAGCCUGACGGAGCAACGCCGCGUGAGUGAUGAAGGUCUUCGGAUCGUAAAACUCUGUUAUUAGGGAAGAACAAAUGUGUAAGUAACUAUGCACGUCUUGACGGUACCUAAUCAGAAAGCCACGGCUAACUACGUG
rnacentral:rRNA from 1 species